rnacentral:lncRNA from 1 species
CUAAACUUUCUUAAAAUUACGUUUUGGCCCCAAAAGUUUUGCUGCCAUUACAUUUUGGUCCCUCUGGCAGCCACCUACGCAAGCUGCACCUGCAACAGGUGGCGGCCGGCCUAGCCCCCCUAGCCCACCUGCAACCUGCAAAAAAAGAAGAGAACAUCAAAAUAAAAUGGGUUUUAAAACCCCCAAAGCAAAGAAAAAAAAGGGGGGGAAGAAAAGCAAGAAAAAAAAGCAAAAAUUUUUGAGAGAAAAAUAAAAAAAAAUAACAGCACACCGCCGGCCAUAGCACCAGCGCCACCGUGCCCACUGCCGCAGCAUCCCCAUCGCCGACACCUAGCAAAGCAAACAACAACCAAGAAGCAAAAAUAAAAAGAGCAAGAAGCAAGUAACAAACAGAAAUAAAAGAGAAAAAAGAAGAAAAGAAGGGAAGAGGAGACCACCGUGUGCGCCAUCGCCGGCCGUCGCUGGGCAGCAGGUCAUCGUCGGCAAAAGCAGAGGAAGAGGAGGGCUGAUCGGAAAAGAAAGAAAGAAAGAAAAAGAGAAGAAAGAAAGAAAGAAGAAGAAGAAAGAAGAAAGAAGAGGGAAAAAAAAGAAUUAACAGUUGGGUCAAACCGACCCGACCCAGAUCUGAUACGACCCGAUCCGGCGACCCGACCCAGCGAGCCCAUUAGUCAAGCCCAAAGCAGCCCAAAAAAAACAAAAAACAAAGCAGAAAAAAAAUAGCAGGCCCAUUUCUCUAGCAGUCCAGGCCUGCACCCAGCAGACCAGCCAGCAGGCCCAGAUUCGGCAGCAGCCCAGCAAGCAGCCAGUCUAGGCCCAAUCUGCCAGCAGUCCAGUAGGCCUAUUCCUGCGCAGGCCCAACAGCAGGCAGCCCAACAAGCCAGCCCAGCAGAAAAAAAAGAGAAAGGAAAAAAGAAAAAAAAAAGAAGGAAAAAUGGUUCAAUUUGCGUAACUCGUUCGACCAAGCUCGUGUUUUGGAUCUUUUCGGUAAUUUCGUUUAUUUCAUUUUUAAUUUAAUGCAUAUAUUUUUAUGGUAUUUCGUUUUAAUGUUAUUAGUAUUUUUAUGC